CUUUCUCGCUCACUCCAUUCACAAACGGAAGCAGAGUGAGGAGGGAUUCAUGGCCGGCGCCGGAGGAGAUCGCUGCCGCCGCCGCCGCCGCGUCGACACCGCCGGCGCUUCUCCUUCCGCAUCCCUCUAGGAUGGGGAGGAGGUUGGAAGCAUUUCUUUUGAUAUACCGCCGGCAUCAGCGUAGUCUGCACAAACCCAAUAUUAUCAAUAUCUUGCUGGCUCAGUGUAUCACUAGUGUUUCCGGAGCAAAGUGUGCUGCCAGAUCUAAACGCAGCUGUUACCAACGACUGUCACGUCACACCUCUCUCAAGAUUAGAUGGGACCUAACAGUCAAAUAAACAAUUCCGUUUUUUGUUUUAUCUCUAGAAAUUUCAUUGCCUUAUUGGAGACGCAUCUGUCAUCUGGGUUGAUUUUAUUUUAUUUUAUAAGCAUUUGCUGCAGAUAAUUCGGUGGAGUGGAGCUUGUUUCGUUUCCAAGUUCGUUCUAAGCAGAAACCAUGGGAGCAGAGCAGAUUGGCAAAUCGCCAACUGUGAGUUUCUGUUCCCCGAAUAACUCGCGUCUUCUCAUUUGUUGCCAAGCAAGAGGAUUACUUGCUGCUCAAUUUCUUGCGUGGAGAACUUGUGUAACUAGUGAUAGGUCUGUACAUAGGCGCCGCCACCGCUGGGAUCUUCAUGGUGAAUCCCGCUUCCCUCGGCCUCCUCGCUGUUGACGCAGGUACCCUUCCUCCUACCAUUCAGCCAUGUCCCAUGCUCAGUCCAGAGACGCUGUUCUGGCAGUGGAAUUUCGUGCAAAAAUGAAACGUGGUAUUGUAGGAUUACCCACUGGAACACAACGAUACAUCAGCAUAAUAGAUAGUAGGCUAGUAGUAUAUCACAACUCAAUAUUUCAAUAAGCAAGUACAACUAGUGUUGGUUAUUGCAGUUAAGUAGUACUCUACUCUGCUACUAGCACACAUGGUUAGAACAUAAUGUGAAACAGAGUAAAAAGGCCACAAUCCCAUUGAAGGCCCUGCUUAUUCUUUGCCUCCAUUGUUGAGCUUCCUGUUGUCUUCCCCAUCUUAUCUUCACCAACCGCUCUUGAGGCCUUGAGGUUGGAACUUGCUGCAUUUACUUAAAACAAUAAAUACGAUCCACACUAACCACGAUGAUGGCAUACGUUAUAUAUGCGCCACAUGACAACAUGGCGUGCGUAUAUAAGAAAAGUAUAUCAAGACUUGUGAUUGGAUUAUUCGAGAAUUCCUUUACUUUUGUGCAGUCUACUUUAAUCACAGGUCAUCAGGAAACUUACUAAAAUUACCCUGCCUUUUUGAAAAGCCAACACUGUUUUUAUUGCCUACAAAGAAAAUAUUGGACAUGAUCUAUUACUAUGAUAUACUCCAUUAAAAGCAUAGCACAGUAGAAAAAUAAGAGACGGGCCAGAAAUUCCUGGCAAAAUGCAAAAUAGCCAUCGCUCCGGUGGAUCAUAUGACAAGUAUGAAAGUUACGUCUUCAAUUCGUCAUACAUGUACCUAGCCGUUAGAUUUAAUUGUGGCUAAACAUCAUCGAAUCAUUGAUUUAUUAUAGAUCGUUAUAUUGGUUAAUGAAGGUCCUAGCUCUGAAACUUCAAAGCUUCUGUUGGGAAUUUGCAGUUUUGGGGUAGCUACUAGCUAGUGAAGGCAAAGUUACGGUGCUCUUAUACUGUAACCGAUAUCAUGAGGAAAGUAUUAGUUUCUUUGUGGAAGACUGAAGGCGCUUGUUUGUAGCUUUGUAACCUUCUGAAAGCCCAUGUGAGUACCUAGUUAACUGUAGUAGUUAACACAGAAUGCUAACAUGCAUGGAUGCUUUGCCAGCGCCUCCAAUUAAAGUGGAUCUAAUCACAUGCAUUAGCACUGAUGACAUAGUUAAUUGUAGUACUCAAUAAUUACAUACCUAGCUAGCCAGUUGUGUAGUACAGAUGGCAUCGAGUCAGACAAACGUCAAAAACAACGCUUGCCAAUAAAGGCACAAGGCAGCACAUAAAGCGCCAACCAAGGGAGCUAAUACACAAAGUGCCAACGCUUGCCAAACUUUGAAUAGAUAUUGCAUUAAUUUUGUCCUAAUGCGCGAUGCCAGCUUGCGUCGUCCGAUCUGGUGUUGCUUCUGCAAAUACGACAUCAUGAUGAGAAUGUGGAUGAUGCGGCAGUGCAAACGCCCAUCAAUGCUCUAUUGAUCCUAUAAUGUCAGUGGUUUGAACAGGUACGUGUUGUACUAAUUUUGUGACCGUACACUUUCAGUAGCAAUACAAUAGCCUUAAAAAAGAUUAUGUUCCAAGAAUAUAUAGUUCAGAAAAAAGCAUAUGCUCAUAUGGCCACCACACACAUGUAUUAAAUCAAGUAUUAAUUAUGUAUUUAGGCUUUGCUCCAAGCACAGCUGUUCAGUACAGAUAACGCCCUUUUGGGACCCUGAGAACUAAAAUCUGCAUCCUCCUCCAGUUUCCUGUAAUAACCCUUUGAAGAAAGAAUGAGAGAAAAUAAUUGAGCUCCUUGUGAAUUCAUAUCAUGUAGAGAAAUAAAUGCAGUAGUUAGUGCAUGAUUGAUUCAAGCGCCCCAGUAAUAAUAAUAUUUUUCUCUGGCCAGAGACAGGACAUAUGAAUGCUUAGCCAGCACCUCGGAUGAAAGUGGCUCUGAUCACAUGCAUUAGCACCAGUUCCCAAUAAUUACUUUAUUAGUAGAUGAUUAAAGCCAAUCCUAUCCUACUACAUGCAUGUAAUUAAUCAGCAUAAAUGGGGUAGUGGCUCAGAGAAGUGUAUGGAGUAGCGUGAGUUCAGAUGUAGGUAGCUGGCUCGUAGUGUCACGAAGAUGCCAUCAAGUCAGACAAGCUUGAAAAACAAUGGCAUGCCAACAAAAGGUACAAGGCAGCACGUAAAGUGCCAACCAAUGGGGCUAAUAUGCACUCCUUCCUAAAACAAACUCUUACAUUAUUAAAGAAAUCAAUCUAAUUGAAAGACUGUAAACUUCAGCAAACAAAAUGUGGGAACUUAGAUGAUUGACAAUGGACUGACGGAUUGAUAUUUUCACACGCAGCUUAAUGUCAACGGGAAUUAUCUCAUCUGAAGCGAUUGUUCGGUACUAAUGCGCAACGCCAGCCUGUGAAUGUGACUUCAUGAUGAUAAUGUGGAUAAUGUGACAGUGCACACGACCGUCGCGCCAUAUUGUUGUUGUCCUAGUGUCAAUGUUUUGAACAGGUAUGUGUUAGCUUUUUUUUUUGACCGUACCCUGUAAGUAGGAACACAAUAACCUUAUAGAAAGAUUCUGUUCCAAGCUUUUUCUUUUAGAAAAGGAGGAUGACCCCCGGCCUCCGCAUCUGGGAGAUGCAUACGGCCACUUUAUUGAUUAUUCUCGAGGAACUUACAAAGUAUUACAACAAUAUGCCUGAAUCCACCGUCUUGGCAACAUCUGCCGCUACUCCUA